UCGUUUUCGUCGUCUUCCGCGCUCUCCACCUGCGCAAACAGAGCGCCGCAUCAAAUCGCCGCCUCCAAUUCGAACCUCCGCGGCCCCGACCGGUGGAUCCGCCGCCGGCGUGACCGACGGACGAGGCGAGGGAGGCUCGGCUGAGCGGCAGCGGUCAUGCCGUUCCCUUCCCGCAGGCGCGCGGCUCCUGGUGGCUCCGGCAGGCGGCGGUAACCUCUCGUCUUAGUACGCAUCAGCGAGUGUAAUUAGCGAGUGUGAUUAGUCCCACCUCGCCAUUCCGGACGGAAUCCGCGCGCUAUAAAAGCGGGCCAUUCGCCGGUUCUCUCGCCGAGUCUGGUAACGCGGACCUGUAACUCCAGUUUCGGAGGGCGGAGUUGGCGAGGGGGUUAACCGGGCAAGGCCGUGCGUGAGCGAGCUUGCCGGCAACGGCGGGUUCGACGGCCGAGCUCGGGUCGCUGUGUUGUGCGCUUGAGCCUCCAUGGCCAGGCACCUGUAAAAGCACAGUAGACGCUAUCCGGUGUUGAAGCCAGCCUGUAGGCUCCGCCGUGGAUGGGCAUACAAAAUGGCCACGGCCUAGCCCCUGAAGUUAGCGCUGCUCGUGCUGUGCCUCCCCUUAGCAGGGGUGUGCCUUGGGUUCGCGCGCACACUUCGACCCCUCUCGCCAGCUUUUUUGAUUUUUAAUUGACACAAGAUUAUGUUCCUUCGUAGAGACAGCGGGUUUCAGUUCUUCUGUAGACUGUAAAUCAAGGUGGCAGCAAUUGUUUUGUUGCGUUCUGCAACCUCACUAGCUCUAGCUCUAGCUCUAGCUAGCAGAUGCUGCUACUUUCUUCAUCCGACUGACAUGGAUGAAUGACUCCCAGGAGCUUAAUGUCGCGGAGAGCAAGCUGGGAAAAUAGUAAUGCCAUUGUUUUUUGAUAACAAGAAAAGAACAGCAUCCAUGGUGUCAUGCAUUGUUUCUGUAUUUUUCGAAAAUAUUGGGCAGGUCUCUGUGCUGGGUAUCUUUAGGAGGAUCAGAAUGGUGAAGGCCAGUUUCAUCAAGCUGGGUGCAAACGAAAUUGCUAAAGGAGGCGUCCAGGUAGUGCUGAGCUCUGACCUGCUAACUAAUGAAGUAUUGCAAUUGGUUAAGCAAGGCAUUAUAUAGCUUGACUACUUUGAAUUGGUAUAUAAUUUACACAUGUAUGGAAUUGGAAUGAUGAGACUGUUAGGACUUGACUCUUUUCACAGCUAGGCUCAAAUGGUAUUAUGCGGGCAUUUCCAUGACUGAGGUACAAACCCUGCAUGAUCGGAUCUAAGUGAUUCAUUCUUCAAGUGUUUGUGAAUUGAUCACUUGGUUGUUCCCCUUCCAUUCUGCCAUAUAUAGCAACACCUCCUUGCCUGCUUAUGCUAUGUAUCGUUUACACAUAGAAUUAGAUCUCACAAUAUUCAGUGGAUUACAGUUUUUGUGUAGUGAAAGGGAGCAAGGCAGCCAGCCCUACUAUGUUUUCCAACAAAGAAAUCAAUAAAGCUAUGCUACAGGUUCUGGGUUGAGGCCUGUCAAAACGAAACCAAUUUUCAGAGAUUCCCUCGAAGAAUAGCUAUAUAAAUUCAAUAAUUCUUAGCUUGCACAAUUUUCUGCUAACUAACGAAGUAUUACUGUAAUUGGUUAAACAAGGCAUUAUAUAGCUUGACUUCUUUGAAUUGGUAUGUAAUUUACACAUGUAUGGAAUGAUGAGACUGUUAGGGCUUGACAGCUAGGCUCAAAUGGCAUUAUGCGGGCAUUUCGAAGACUGAGGUACAAACCCUGCUUGAUCGGAUCUAAGUGAUUCAUUCUUCAAGUGUUUGUGAAUUGAUCACUUGGUUGUUCCCCUUCCAUUCUGCCAUAGAUAGCAACACCUCCUUGCCUGCUUAUGCUAUGUAUCGUUUACACAUAGAAUUAGAUCUCACAAUAUUCAGUGGCUUACAGUUUUUGUGUAGUGAAUGGGAGCAAGGCAGCCAGCCCUACUAUGUUUUUCAACAAAGAAAUCAAUAAAGCUAUGCUACAGGUUCUGGGUUGAGGCCUGUCAAAAUGAAACCAAUUUUCAGAGAUUCCCUCGAAGAAUAGCUAUAUAAAUUCAAUAAUUCUUAGCUUGCACAAUUUUCUGUUGCUGAAUUUGGCGUCUAAUGCUUUGAUAAACAGGCCAAGUCAAAGCUUGUGUACAUAUUCUAUCGUAGUAUACAGAAGUAAAAAAAUACUUCAACUACUUGUAUUCACCUGUUGUCAUUUCUUAGCUGCUCAUAAUACCUUUGUGUUUUUCUUCUUUUAGUGGCAACUAAACGAAGGCCACUUUAAUUUAGGCUAAAUCUGUAUGCUGGGAAUGUGCCACUUGAAAUAUCUAAGGUGUUGGAAUGUUUACAUCCUGACCUGAUUGUAUGCAGAUUAAUCCAUGAUGAAACAUGUACGGCGCACACCAUGCCGUUCUGCAUCAAUCAAUGUUUUGUCAGCUCUAAAAUGCUCAAUUUGUUUCUUCUGCGUGAAUCAGGAUUCGUGGAGCUGAUUUAGCGGCAUUUCCAUUAAUAGUUACAAGCGGCAUGUAUCAGCGCCAAGGGAUGUGCCAUCGACUAACCAAAACAAUUGAAUCGGGUUUGGAUUUCCAAGUCACAACGGUAACAAAUCAUUAUUACUCAGAACCAGAAAUCCUGGUUAGUACUGGAAUUUGUUUCAUUGAUGAGAUUACGCUAUUUUGAGCCACGUUGUGGUUUGAGCCUUAAGUCUGAAGAAAAAUGAGAAAAUAAAGGAAGUACGACUUUUAGCUGCUACUAAUGGAAACUCUCCUGUAAAAGGCUCUUAAACCUAGUUGUAGGUGUGUAUUCUUAUACUAAUUUGUUAGCACUGUUGCAUAACACUGAACGUGUAAAAUAGAGAUAGGCCUUGUUGAACUGUGUAAAUUUAUCUUUGGAUGCGGGAAGGAGGAAUUUUAGAAAAGCAUAAAGUGUUAUUUGUGUUUUAAUUGCUUU